rnacentral:lncRNA from 1 species
GGGGCCUUGUAACAGCUCUCCAUUGAAGGUCACCGUCGCCCUAAGAAAGGCAAGUUGAAGCAGCUCGUCUGAGCGAGCUCCUGCAACUGGUUCUUCUCGUCCGUGUGUGGAUCAGAAGAUAGACCAGUUUUACCAAAAGGGGAAGGAUGGGCAGAAAUUUCAUCACCCGUGCAGCAAUAAAGUAGAAAACUUUAGGAGUUUCGAUGAGAGUAGUGGCUCACCCAGUUCCCAAGAACGAGC